UGAAAUGCGUAGAGAUGUNGAGGGANUACCGNAUGGCGAAGGCANCCCCCUUGGGANGUCACUUACGCUCNUGCANGAAAGCNUGGGGAGCAAACAGGNUUAGAUACCCUGGUAGUCCACGCCCUAANCGAUNUCAACUAGUUGUUGGGGAUUCAUUUCCUUCAGUAACGUAGCUAACGCGUGAAGUANACCGCCUGGGGAGUACGGUCGCAAGAUUAAAACUCAAAGGAAUUGACGGGGACCCGCACAAGCGGUGGAUGAUGUGGAUUAAUUCGAUGCAACGCGAAAAACCUUACCUACCCUUGACAUGCCACUAACGAAGCAGAGAUGCAUUAGGUGCCCGAAAGGGAAAGUGGACACAGGUGCUGCAUGGCUGUCGUCAGCUCGUGUCGUGAGAUGUUGGGUUAAGUCCCGCAACGAGCGCAACCCUUGUCUCUAGUUGCUACGAAAGGGCACUCUAGAGAGACUGCCGGUGACAAACCGGAGGAAGGUGGGGAUGACGUCAAGUCCUCAUGGCCCUUAUGGGUAGGGCUUCACACGUCAUACAAUGGUGCGUACAGAGGGUUGCCAACCCGCGAGGGGGAGCUAAUCCCAGAAAACGCAUCGUAGUCCGGAUCGUAGUCUGCAACUCGNCUACGUGAAGCUGGAA
rnacentral:rRNA from 1 species